rnacentral:rRNA from 1 species
CAGCACCUCAAGUGGUCAGGAUGAUUAUUGGGCCUAAAGCAUCCGUAGCCUGCUUUGUUAGUUUUCGGUUAAAUCCAUACGCUCAACGUAUGGGCUGCCGGGAAUACUGCAAAGCUAGGGAGUGGGAGAGGUAGACGGUACUCGGUAGGAAGGGGUAAAAUCCUUUGAUCUAUUGAUGACCACCUGUGGCGAAGGCGGUCUACCAGAACACGUCCGACGGCGAGGGAUGAAAGCUGGGGGAGCAAACCGGAUUAGAUACCCGAGUAGUCC